rnacentral:sRNA from 1 species
GGGUUUUCAACUACAACAAGCCUUUCUCCAUCUACCUCAAGCUCAUCACCAUUCAAUGGAAAAAUUGCUACAGUCUUUGAAUUGAAUGCAGUUCAACCUGAAAUUCAGGUAAGCAAUAUUCACCAAAGAAAUCUCAAUUCAUGUUUUAGAACAUCAUACAUUUCGUGAGAAAUAACUUGUACAACUCUACAAACUAUGACUUUGCCACUGUUUCCGAAGCCAUAAAUAUUCCAUAUGCUUUCACAGAUAAUUACAACUCAAACAUUUUGCAAUACGGCAUAGCAAAGCAAGAAGUUCAAGCAAUUUCACAAAAUUACUUAUUGGAUUUACAGGAGCUUGAUAGAUCUUCAGAGCAAUGUUGAUACUCUUUACAUUAACGCAUUUUCAAUGAGGGAUGCAACAAUUUCAGAGUAACCAUUAUGCCGAAAUUGUAAAUCGUAUUAUUUUUAUUUCAGUGGCCUCGUGUGGCUGAUCAAUAACUACCCAUAUGGAAUAAACACUAUUAUCAUUGUCGUCGGAUAUCAGUAAUAUUAUUUGAUCCAAAUAACAUACCUAAGAAUAUUUUUCAGUGAUGAUGAAAACCCCGCAACGACUACAUUCAUUCUUGAAACUCUCAGAGCUCAGGGAUAUAAAGUUAUAACGGUAGCUGCUGGUGUAGGGCAUGGAGAUUUAUCUGGAAUUGCUGACAAACCAGAAUGGUAUUUCCAAGUCAAUGACUCAAAUGGACAAACUAUUGCUGAUGCGAUUUCAGAAGUUCUUUGCAGUUUGCAAUUUCUGUAAACAUUAAUAAAAAAAUAUGGUGUUUCUACUGUUUAACUUCUCACAGUUACAGUUUAAAUUUCUUUGAAGAAUUUGCAAUAUGUAAACUACAUAGAAAUUUAUGUGCACAUAAAGGAACACUUAACUGUUAAAAAUGUAUAAAAUGUAACAAUAUAUUCUUGAUCACUGUUUGUUGUGACUUCAAAAAUUGCAAUAAAUUUAUGGGAAAAAGAUUAUUGGUCUUGUGUUAUGUACUUAUGUUACAAUUAUGUGUGGAGCUGUAAUGUGUUUUUUUAAUGGGAAACGUGCCACCUGAACUGAACUCAUGAGUCGAUUCCAGAUAACAAGACCAAAGUUCAGCUAGAUUUUUUAAAUGAAAUUGCUACAACAUUUGAGUACAAAACUGGCAAACGGACAGUUCAUCCAUAGAAAAGUGUUGUCAAAAUGUUUUAAAGUUAUAGUGCAGAUCUACAUGAAUUGUUUGGUAAAUUCAUUGUCAACUUGUAAAAUAUGUUUAAGUUUGGAAUUGAAAAAUCGAGACUCUGAAAUAACGUUGCGUGGGAAAAAUUUUCAAUAAGGAAAAAAGAGAAAAAAGAAGUACAUAGAGGUAGAGACAAAUUUGAUUGAUAAACUUGAAACCUGGAUAAAGGUGGAGCAUAUUAUAGAAUUUUUUUCAAUAGUAUACUUUAAGAUUAGCUUGAGAGACCUCAAAAAUACACACAAAAUACGUUGGAAAUACAUCAUUAGGCUUCUGAUAACUUCAUAAUUUUUUAAAGUUCAACUACAACUUUUGAAUUAGUGAGUCAUAGUGUCAGUUGUAAUCUAAUAAACAAACUUUCCAAUGUUUCAAAACUUCAUUACAUUUUCUUAUCAAUCCAUUUUUCGGAACUGUUAGUUUUCGAUUAUAAUAAAUAUUAACAAAAUCACACUUUUAUUCGAACCAAUUUUAUGAGCAGAUUACAUCAAUCAGAAAAUUAUUUACUGCAACUGAUGGAAACGCCUUUGAAAUUGAAACUUCUAAAAAGCAAACUACAGCUCAUUCACUUGCAUCCAAAUUUACGACCUUCCAUUGAAUGGAAUGCGAUUAUCAGUACUCUCAAUUGAAUAAGAGUAUAGAAACAGUUUUCUACGCUUUCCUUGUUCACCGCAAAGUGCCCACCGACUAUUCAAACAAUUAAACUUUAUUGAAAAACUGAUAAGUGAAUUUGAACAGAAAUUGGUCGUUGGCAAAUUGAUAAAGCACAUUAUAUUCUUCCUGACGCCAGGAUUCCCACUACUUUUUUCUCGUGCAAAAGUUUUUAGUCAUUUCAUAAACGUCAUUUCAUAGAUUUAUUGACGUUGAAAUUAUGUUGUUUCAAAGAUGAGCUGACUCUGUUUUAGAUCUGUGAAAAGUUAAUAUUAAAAAACCGACCAAUAAUCCCUAUUGUUCUCGAUUCUCUGAGAUCCCUCCAGAGAAAAAUAUAAAUUUUAAGUCACUAAAUUAUUUUUUUAACUUUCAAAUAAUUUACUUAAUAAACAAUUACUACUCGAUAAUGAUCCAUAAAGUAUCUAUAAUUUUAAUGUAUUAAACAAAUUUUGAUAAGCCUAUUAAAUGUUUAGAUUUUCAUACAACAAAACAAUUCGGAAAAAGACAUAUCUUGUUAUAUCAAAGCGGAUGUUGUGAAAAAAACGAAACCUUUUUUUAAAAUAAAAACAAACUAUUUUAUAGAUUAUUUACACCUUUCACCUUGAUUAAAAAUUAAAAAAGAAUACAUUGCAACAUGAAAAUGCCACUCAAUGGUAGCAUUUACAUACACUGAUAAGACCAUUUGAACCACACCUUUCAUUAUUGAAAUUAAUGCAACAUACGCUUUUUUUCCAGUGAUUUAUUAGUUUUUUAUGCAGAACAGACAGUUUCAAAUGCCAAGAAUUUCAGGUUCGAGAGAGUAGAAGACGAUGUUUCGGGACCUUGGCAGGGUCCACAUCGUUUCUUUUGCCGUCGGAAUCGUAGGAUUAGCUGUUGGAAUUACUGGAAUCGUUUUGGCAAUUGUAUUUGGAACUGGUGAGUAUAAAAAACCAUAGAAGUUCACAUUUUCAAUUGGUUAAUUUAGCACAAUCAACUUGCACCACUCCUUCACCACCGCCAGUUUGUCCAACCUGUCCCACGCAAACUGCGCAAUGUAACACAAAUCUAUUUUCAAUAAGUACUCAAGUCAAUAAUUUAAAAUGGAAUGAUGAUUACAAUAAUACGAAUAGUCCCGCUUACAUUGAUGCUGUUAAGAACAUAACCAGUGCACUUACUGCAACUCUGAACACUGGUUUAAAUACCGCCUCAUCAUCUGGAUUUUACCGAGUUCUUGCCGUAUCUACGACGAACAAUGUGAAUGUUCAGAUUUCAGCUCUUCGGUUAGUUAUUUGACACGUUUUAGUCGCGUAAGUUUCUCUGUAAAACUCGUUUUAGUACUGUUGAAAAUGAUGUUUUAUAAUCUUAAAAACACCCCAGAACUACCAAAAAUUACACGUACACACUUCCAGGCAAGGAUCUGAUAAUUCGGUUGUGGCUAUCGGAAACGGAGCUAUUUCUUCAACUUCUGAUCUUGGGCAAAUGCCCACUGAUAAGAAUGUUAACAGUGUAAUCACUUCUGACAAUACGACAUAUUCGGAUGUGACCAGUGAGUUAACAUUGAAUCGCUUUUUGCAAUAAAUUAUUUUCAGCUGCUCCACAGGCAUGUGAUAAAACUAUAAUUCAAUCCGACUGUCCUUCGACUGUUGCUCCUGUAACAUGCUCAACAAUGCCUAUGCCGACAACACAACCACUUGUCACUUCAACCGCCCCAGAAGUUACCACAACAGUAGCCCAGACAACAACGGCUCCAAUUGUCACGACUGCUAAUACCACAACUCAGGGAGUUACUACGACGGCUGGAGUUACCACAACAGUAACUAGGGCUCAAAACUCAACUUUGGCUGCAACUACGACUGCUCCGUCUACGAACACUACAACUCAGGGUGUUACUACAACAGUUGGAAAAACAACAACAGUUACUACUGCUCAAAAUUCAACAUGGGCCGCUACUACGACUGCUUCCAAUACCACUACACAGCCAGUUGUUACAACAUCAACAAGUACCCAAGGUAUUUCAACCACAACAGCACAGGCCACGCCAUCAAGUUCUGUAAUCCCAACGACCACACAAACUACACAACGGCCCACCAGCACAGGUAUCCCUAGCACAGUCUCAACAUCGCAAGGAACCAGCAGUACAUCCCCGAUCCCUUCCACCACGCAAACCUCAUCAAGUGCUCCGAGCACCUACACCUCGAAUUUCACCCCAUCCCCCACAACAACUCUACUGACAAGUACUAUCGCUCCGAGUACCCAAGGAGUUCCCACUUCUAGUAAGUCUUCCUCCCCCAACAGUACCCCAACAACAACUAUCACACCUGGAGCGCCCUCAUCCACUCUAGGAUCAUCAAGUUCAACAAUAGUGUCUACUACUAUUACCCCGAGUACCCCAAAAGUCUCCACUUUGACAUUGAGUCAGUCCCCCACUCCCACCAGCACCCCACUGGUAGUCUCCUCUUCCUCAUCAGGAUCCAGCUCGACUGUGGUAACUAGUACUAUUACACCAAGUACUCAAGGAGUCCCAACUUCCACAUCUAAUCAGCCAACUCCCUCCACCAGUAACCCAACAACUCCUAAAUCCACCGUUACAGCAUCCCCAUCGACGACAGGAGCCACCUCAACUGCUAGUCCUUCAACUAUCACAUCAUCAGCACCUACUUCCCAGUCGCAUUCUCCUUCAUCCACUAUGACGUCAACUGUUCCAGUGACAUCAACCUUCGCGUCAACAACUACAACAGUGCCAAUAACAGUUGCACCAGGUCAAUGUUAUUGCCAAUCAAAUGUUGCUGUGGCAUUCGAGCUUACUAGUGGAACAUCGGAUCUUGACCUGGACAUUCAGAAUUUCAUUGCGAACUAUUUGUUCUUUUACUCCGGAGCUCCUUACAUCCUUGGUGAUUUGACAGACAACAGAACUGCGGUAACGAUUGUAUCACAAAUGCAAUACUAUAAUAAUUUAUGGGCCUUCAGAUCUCUCUCGUUCCAUUCCCUAACGAUGACACUCUAUCCGAUCUGAUGACCUAUGGAGCUGAACAAACACCAUCAGGAAUAUCAGCAGCUUUGGAUACAUUCAACAUUCUAGCAAGAGGAAAUGCAGUCAUUUCGGAUGCAUUUAACAUUAUUCCGAAUAUCACAAGAAAAGGUUAUCAAGGAUUUGUCAUUCUCGUUGCCAACUCGUAUGUUGAAAAAGAUUUGAUCCUCCGAACAAUAUCUUCAUUUCAGUGAUGAAUCGGUUCAAGCUUCGGUUGAUUCUGCUACAAACUUGAAGGCUCAAGGAUUUAAUGUAAUUACGGUUGCAUUUAAGUCAAGUGGAAAGUUUGAUGUCUUAGCUUCACAACCAUCAUACAAUUAUACAAUUGUGCAAGAUGCUGAUAAACGAUACGUUGCAACACUUAUCGGAAAUGUUUUGAGUGAGUUUUCUAGUUGAAAAAAUCAUGAACAAAAAAGUAACUUAUGUUUUAGACACUACGUAUUGCAACAAUCUUGCUGCCUCCAGUACUACUAUGACUUCUGGAGUUUAUUCUUCAACAGUCACUGUGACAACCCAAGGAUCAAGCUCUCAGGCUCCAUCCUCCACAGUUACCGUACCAACUACUGGCACUACUUCCGGCGCUGCAUCCACAACUGGAUCUAUAACAUCUACUCAACAAGCAACAUCGACAAGUAGCGUAAUUACAACAGGAAGCACAUCAGCUCCUCAAAGUUCGACUGCUGUAAGUUCAACUACGACAUCUCCUUCUACUACAACUGGAAGUACACCUGCUCCACAAAGUUCGACUGUAGCAAGCACGACUACAGUGUCACCAUACACUACAACAGAAUGCAUCUGCACAACAGUCAGUAAUACAUUUGGUACUUCUACUACUCAAGGAUUAACAUCUUCAUCUGCUCAAAGCACUGCGUCAACUGGAGUUUCCACAGUAGCUAGUUCAACAACUAUCCCUCAAGGGUCAUCCUCAUCAUCCCCACAAUCUCCAACAUCGGCUCAGCCAGCACAAUCAAGUUCCACAAGUGCUGCUACAGUAACCGUAUCUUCAUCACAAUCUCCAACAUCUUCACCAGCUCAACAAAGUAGCACACCAGCUGGAUCAUCCACAGUAACUGUUCAGCAAUCAUCAUCUUUUCAAAGUCCACAAAGUACAACACAAAUAGGAUCCUCCACAACAGUUCCAUCGACUCAAGCUCCAUCAAGCACAUCUGGUGGGCCAACGACAACUCAAAUCUGUCCAAAUCAACAAACCGUAUUCAAGGGGCAAGUCGGAGUAAUUUAUGAGAUGCUUCCAGCCUCCACUCAACAAAAUGCUAUCAACGCAUUUGUGGAGAAUGUGCUAUUGAAUUCAAACUUCUACGGAUUGGCUUUGGAUAAUCUAACCCAUGACAAUAGAACACUUGUCACUGCUAUUCCAUACCCAACAACUGACAAAUACAAUGUUCAAGGAUAUGGAAGUGCGAGAAGUGUAGAUGAAUUUAGAAAUCAAGUUAUUGCGUUCAAUGGAAUGAUUCAACCUAUUUCACAAUCCAGCAGUAUUUCAGAGUAUGUUAAUAACAAUUUUCAUGUGAAGAUUUUCAUUUAUUUUUCAGUGCACUUUUGUACGUUACGACCAGUCUGCCAGCUGGAGGUGUUAAGUCAUCACUUAUUAUCGUUGGAAAUAGCGCAGCGAUGAUUGACAAUAUCGCACCGAUAUUAACAAACCAGUUGCGAUCGGAUUUCGAUAUAUAUACAGUUGGUGUUGGCAGUGGCGCCGUUGAUUUGUCGCCUCUAUCUUCGGGUAAGAUUUUAGAAAAACCUUGAGAUUGUACUAGAAAUUUUCAGUUCUGAAAUAGUUUUCUAAAAAGGCUUAUUUUUUCGUUUUGUACACACCGGUUUUCAUUUGAUCAAAGAACAAAUUCAACAUUUUGAGAUUUGAAAACUUGUGAUCUGUACAUUUAAAGAACGAAAAAAUAAAUCCUUUGUCAUCGGCAGAAUUCUUCAGGAACUGGAUUCUCGUUUACUGGAGACACUCAACAAGUUGCUGACCAAAUUGGCCUUAAAAUGGCAUCUUCAAACCCAUCUGUAUACUGUCCACCUCCUGUACCAUCAACUGCUGCACCAAGCACUUCUACAGCAGUCCCUACAACUACAGUACCCGUAACAACAACCAUAGCGACCACUACUCGUGUAACUACUGUUCGACCUACAGUAGGACCUUGUCAGUGUACCGGAAGAUGGGUUUAUAAUGGAGACUUGGCCAUCGCGUUUGAAAAUAUCAAGACUAAUGGAUCACAGGUACGGAUUUAUCAACUGUCAUAAGAUUAUAAAAACUAUAAAGUUUAGAGCGUAGCAAAUUUUCUGAGCAAUACGCUAUUGAAGAAUCCAGAUUCAUAUGGUCUUACAAAUGAUGUCAAUGGAAACCAACCAUCGCAAUUAACUCUUAUCCCAUAUCCAGAUUCAAAUACAUAUCCAACUUAUCCAUAUGGAUGGAUCAGGUAUUGAAAUCACACGUUCAGGAUUACAUUUAACAUAUAUUUAAGAUCGGUUAAUGAUAUUGGAAACUACAUUGAUGCAAUUUCUCCCCUUCCACUGGCCACCCCGGAUCCGCAAAUCUCAGAUGCUUUAACUUUUAUUAGUGCACAGCCAACAACUCUGAAUUCGAAAGUAGUCCUUCUCGUUGGAUCAAAUGGAACUGAUGUCAAUGCAGCAAUGGAUUCUGCGAAUAAACUUAAAAAUGCAGGAUAUCUUGUCAUAACGGUUGCUCAGACGGCUGCUGCAAGUGUUUUCCAACCGUUGGCUUCUGGAAGUCAGUUUGCUUUACACAUUGGGGAUGGAAAUGAUGAUGCUGUGGCUGCGCAGAUAGCAAGCAUGUUACUUGAUUAUAGUUUCACGUGCUUCGACGAUGGAUCUAGCACUCCUUCUCCUACUACACGAUGCCCCGGUACCCAAGGAACAACUCAACCAG